CCAGAUUGUUGUGGAGUGUCUUCAUAUUAGUCUAAAACAGGGCUCUUCAACCCUGUUCCUGUAGAGCUACCCUCCUGUAGGUUUUCACUCCAACCCUGUUCCUGUAGAGCUACCCUCUUGUAGGUUUUCACUCCAACCCUGUUCCUGGAGAGCUACCCUCCUGUAGGUUUUCACUCCAACCCUGUUCCUGGAGAGCUACCCUCUUGUAGGUUUUCACUCCAACCCUGUUCCUGGAGAGCUACCCUCUUGUAGGUUUUCUCUUCAACCCUGUUCCUGAAGAGCUACCCUCUUGUAGGUUUUCACUCCAACCCUGUUCCUGGAGAGCUACCCUCUUGUAGGUUUUCACUCCAACCCUGUUCCUGGAGAGCUACCCUCCUGUAGGUUUUCACUCCAACCCUGUUCCUGGAGAGCUACCAUCCUGUAGGUUUUCACUCCAACCCUGUUCCUGGAGAGCUACCCUCCUGUAGGUUUUCACUCCAACCCUGUUCCUGGAGAGCUACCCUCUUGUAGGUUUUCACUCCAACCCUGUUCCUGGAGAGCUACCCUCUUGUAGGUUUUCACUCCAACCCUGUUCCUGGAGAGCUACCCUCCUGUAGGUUUUCACUCCAACCCUGUUCCUGAAGAGCUACCCUCUUGUAGGUUUCUCUUCAACCCUGUUCCUGGAGUUCUACCCUCCUGUAGGUUUUCACUCUAACCCUGUUCCUGGAGAGCUACCCUCUUGUAGGUUUUCACUCUAACCCUGUUCCU